AAACGUCGCUCUGAAACCGAGCAAGUGACAUCAUACGACCGGCCGCCACGUCGCUGGGGUCAAAUGAACAGUAGCCACCAGCCUCCAACGUGCGCUUGAUAGUUCCAAGGUCCAUCGGCUGCUUUACAAUAACGAAGUAGUCGGGGAUCGACUCGGGCGGCCACAGCUCGUUCACAGGAGCAGAGAACGGCUUGGCUUGCGCGUGCCGCAACAGCUCAUUGACGAUGCGGCGGCAGUACUUGACUCGCGGAUCACGACUCCAGCCGCUAGGCAUGGACGGCGCGGCAAGCGCCCCAAUCGCAGGCUCGCCGGGAGCGGGCUUGAGCCAGACUGACGGCGUACGCGGCCUCGACGGACGCCGAGACACCCGAUCUGUCGUGCUCGUCGACGGCCCCUCUGCCCCACCGCCCGGAGUCGCCGGUCCACUGCCAACAGCGCUGUAGAAACUCAAAGGGCACAGCUCUGGAACUCGGGCGCACCCCGCGAACAAAGACGGGGAGCUGCCGGUGACAAACCGAGGAAGGAGAUGACGUCAAGAGAGCCGCACAAGCGGUGGAGCAUGUGGUUUAAUUCGAUGCAACGCGAAGAACCUUACCAGGACUUGACAUGUCACAAAUUUUCUUGAAAAAGAAAAGUGCUUUCGAGAAUGUGAACACAGGUGGUGCAUGGCUGUCGUCAGCUCGUGUCGUGAGAUGUUGGGUUAAGUCCCGCAACGAGCGCAACCCUUGUUUUUAGUUGCCAUCAUUUAGUUGGGCACUCUAAAAAGACUGCCGGUGACAAACCGGAGGAAGGUGAGGAUGACGUCAAGUCAGCAUGCCCCUUAUGUCCUGGGCUACACACGUGCUACAAUGGUCGUGACAAAGAGUUGCCAACUUGCGAAAGCUAGCUAAUCUCACAAACACGACCUCAGUUCGGAUUGCAGGCUGCAACUCGCCUGCAUGAAGGUGGAAUCGCUAGUAAUCGCCGGUCAGCUAUACGGCGGUGAAUCCGUUCCCGGGCCUUGUACACACCGCCCGUCACACCAUGGGAGCUGGCUACGCCCGAAGUCGUUACCCUAACCUUUUGGAGGGGGGCGCCUAAGGCAGAGCUAGUGACUGGGGUGAAGUCGUAACAAGGUAGCCGUACUGGAAGGUGCGGCUG
rnacentral:rRNA from 1 species